GGUAGGACCUCGCUUCUCCGUGCGGAGGGAAGGUCUGGGGGGCUGGAGCGUUUGCUGCGGAGAGAAGAGAUAAAGAGAAUUUAAGAGAAAACCUUUGUGCUGAGAUGGUGGUCCCUCUGCCCUGAACCAGUGUGCAGGUUCUGUGGAAUAAACCGGCUUCCAACCUACACCCCUCAGAAGAAUUGUUAUUCUCAGCUCUGUCCAGGCCUCUGAGCUCCUUGCUGCCAAGGACAGGUAAGUUUUACCCCGGAGCAAAAUAGUAUCUCCAGCAGUUAAAGGUG
rnacentral:lncRNA from 1 species